CGAGUCAAACCAGAACAUGCCAAAAAAGAAGCUGUGGUUCUGAAAGAAAUACCUAAAGAAGAAAAGGAAGAGCCCAGAAAAAGCAAGGAACAAGUCAAACCAGAAUAUGCCAAAAAAGAAGCUGUUCUUCUGAAAGAAAAACCUAAAGAAGAAAAGGAAAAGCCCCGGGACACCAAGGAACGAGUCAAACCAGAACAUGCCAAAAAAGAAGCUGUUCUUCUGAAAGAAAAACCUAAAGAAGAAAAGGAAGAGCCCAGAAAAAGCAAGGAACAAGUCAAACCAGAAUAUGCCAAAAAAGAAGCUGUUCUUCUGAAAGAAAAACCUAAAGAAGAAAAGGAAAAGCCCCGGGACACCAAGGAACGAGUCAAACCAGAACAUGCCAAAAAAGAAGCUGUGGUUCUGAAAGAAAUACAUAAAGAAGAAAAGGAAGAGCCCAGAAAAAGCAAGGAACAAGUCAAACCAGAAUAUGCCAAAAAAGGUACAGAUAGGAAUUUGUAA
rnacentral:lncRNA from 1 species